UGCUCCGGUGCCCCCAGCCGUCCCCCAAGCAAGAACUCGGGGGAAAUCACCCCACCAAGCCCCACCCCUCCCGCCCGCAGGGCGUGAUCACUCGGGCGGGUGAACAUUCGCUGCUCAGCUGGCUUUUCGGGCCCUCGGCACCUCUACGCUCAGCGCAACACAACCCGAAAAAAGCUUCGGCCCCCGCCGGGAUUGCCGUCCCAGUGCGAGGGCCUGACCACCAAGGAAGAACAGACCUUCCCG
rnacentral:ncRNA from 1 species